rnacentral:lncRNA from 1 species
UCCAGUCUUGUUUCGGGUGCCAGUCUUUAAGUGUAAGGUGGUGAUUCUGUCGGUUGAGAGGGUGUUGUUGACAUUUGCAGUUAAUAACUUCAAGUAGGGGUAAAGGCAAUAAUAUCUUAAUUCAUAAGCGAGUUGGAACAGAAUAUGCAUUAGAAGCGAGAUCAGCAGUGGAAUGAAUAAAGUACUGGUUUUGAUGACCUAAGUCCACGACCACAAGAGAGGAGAGGUUAUUCUGAUGCGCAUUAAUUCUUAUGUAGUUGCAUGGCAGUUUCUGUAUUCCUUGUUUACAGUUUCCAUUCUGACUUUAGAGUUUAGGUCGGGGUCGGGCGCCAAGCCGUAUAAGAGAGAUGUAUUGCCAGGCCCAGCAGCAACCUUGAAUUCUAUCUGUGUGGAGUUGUGCUUUCCCUUACCCAACACUUAAUGAGUAGUUGCCUUCCCUUUGCUUUGCGUGCUUAGCCAUCCCAAUUUGCCAUAAGACAUAAGAGUCGUUUCCAGUAGGUUAAACAACGAGAAAUAGAGGUCUUUUUUGCCUUUCCAGAGUUGUAAGCGCGUAUAUAAGUCUGGACCACUACUCGUUUCAUCCAAGCAUGCAAAGUCAAAGAGCAGCGGAAAGUGGAGUUUCGAUUCCAGUCUUAAACCAAGGGGAUCUCAAGCGGGAACGGACUUCUUACAGCUGGCUCUUCACUCCUAACAGCUGAUGCAAAACUCAGAUCAUAGGCGCCGGGUCGAUAAACGGAUGAAACAAGAACAGCGGAUGACUUACUUACUUAGGGAACUCCUCGAAUGGACUUACUUUACCCUCUGGAUUCAAUAAUUACCAGA